UGCUGGUUCUCUCGCAACAAUAAACUGUGAACCCGGUCAGACCUGGAAGGGAGCAGCCGCAGCAGUGGAUUUGUGUGCCGGGAAGUGGCUGGUACUG
rnacentral:SRP_RNA from 1 species